rnacentral:rRNA from 1 species
UACAGAGGCCUCGAGCGUUAGGCGGAAUCACUGGGCUUAAAGCGUGUGUAGGCGGACUGGUAAGUACCUUGUGAAAUCCCACAAGCUUAACUGUGGAACUGCUCGGUAUACUGCUGGUCUUGAGCCACUCAGGGGCUACCGGAACAAAUGGUGGAGCGGUGAAAUGCGUAGAUAUCAUUGGAACGCCAAUGGUGAAAACAGGUAGCUGGGGGUGUGCUGACGCUGAGACACGAAGCCAGGGGAGCAAACGGG